rnacentral:rRNA from 1 species
CAGCCGCCGCGGGAAUACGUAGGGCGCAAGCGUUAUCCGGAAUUAUUGGGCGUAAAGAGCUCGUAGGCGGUUUGUCGCGUCUGCCGUGAAAGUCCGGGGCUCAACCCCGGAUCUGCGGUGGGUACGGGCAGACUAGAGUGAUGUAGGGGAGACUGGAAUUCCUGGUGUAGCGGUGAAAUGCGCAGAUAUCAGGAGGAACACCGAUGGCGAAGGCAGGUCUCUGGGCAUUAACUGACGCUGAGGAGCGAAAGCAUGGGGAGCGAACAGGAUUAGAUACCCCUGUAGUCCCUGUCUCUUAUAC